rnacentral:rRNA from 1 species
AUUGAACGCUGGCGGCAGGCUUAACACAUGCAAGUCGAGCGAGCGGCGGACGGGUGAGUAAUUUCUGGGAAACUGCCUUAUGGAGGCGGAUAACUACUGGAAACGGUAGCUAAUACCGCAUACCAUCAGAUGUGCCCAGAUGGGAUUAGCUAUUAGGUGGGGUAAUGGCUCACCUAAGCGAGGAUCCCGAGCUGGUCUGAGAGGAUGACAAGCCACACUGAAACUGAGCCACGGUCCAGACUCCUACGGGAGGCAGCAGUGGGGAAUAGUGCACAAUGGGAGCAAGCCUGAUGCAGCCAUGCCGCGUGUGUGAAGAAGGCCUUCGGGUUGUAAAGCACUUUCAGCGGGGAGGCGUUACUCGCAGAAGAAGCACCGGCUAACUCCGUGCCAGCAGCCGCGGUAAUUC